rnacentral:misc_RNA from 1 species
CUGUGUUUUUGAUGAUUUCUACUACCCUCUGAAUCGCGACGAUGGCAAUACUCGUUUAAACUUCAGUUGUGUAACCGGGCAUAACUGGAACGUUUGGAUUGUUUAUUAUUGUUUUCAUCUAAACUAGAUUUUUUUGAAUCCGGAAUGUCUUCGUGUUUCUUUUUUACAAUAUUUUAUAUUUUAAUCUCAGGAUGCAUUGUUUAUCCACCGACGGAAUUCGUGUCAGCUGGUUUAAUCAUAGAGGAUUUAUUUUCAGGAUGGUUGGGUAGUGAAAACGAAUAUUUCAUACAAUAUCAUAUUAAAAGAACAGCAGCAACUAUUUUUGUGCAUUCUUUGAUCCCAUGUGGUUAUAUUUUGGGUUUGAUAUGCUUUGACUACAUGCAAGCUGUACAUGACGUAUUGCACAGCGAUCGAGUCUGGUUAGAAAUUGUUAUCCUUACUGCAGCAUGGCCGAUUUACUCUCUAUGUAAAAGUUUGUAUUGGUCAUUGGGAAAUUGGUCCUUUCAUCCAGUAGCAAAAAUCCUGAAGACUUUCUGUGAUAGUAAUCAAACGUGGGUGUCAAUUGCGACUGGUAUUAAUAUCGAAUAUAAAAGUAUUGAUAAGACUAUAAUACAUAUGAAUAGUAUUUAUAAAGUAGUUAUAACAAAUAAUUGGAUCAUUAAAGUAACUCCAUAUAAUCUGAAUAUCGCUCAUCAAAGAGACGCAGCAUUAAUUGUUGUUAAAUGUGAUACCCAUGCCAUGUCUGCAAAUACUCGAGGUGAAGUCCAAUACAUUGACAUUCAGGUUAAGCCAUUCAGGAGAGGUACGAAACCUUUUAAUAUACGCAUAAAUUCGCUGCAUUACAAAGAUUUUUGCGAUAGGAUAUCAUGUCCCAUUGCUGUAUUGCAGAAUGUGACUUUCCAUAAAACACUGUUAGAUAGAUUUGUAGAUACCUUUAAGAAACAUGUAUCUGCAAAUCCUAGGUAUGAUACCGUCGAAGAGUUGGAGCAAUGCAUUGGAUGUAUGCAAGUCACAUCUAAUGUUAAAUUAAAUACAUUAUGUGAAAAUGUACAAGAUGAAAAUGGAUCAAACGCUUGCAGUACUUGCCACUGUCGACCUAUGUGGUGUGUGGAAUGCAUGGCUAAAUGGUUUGCGUCGAAACAAGAUGAGAGUGCUCCAGAAACAUGGUUAUCAUCCAAAUGUUCAUGCCCUGUAUGCAGAGCAACAUUUUGCAUUUUGGAUGUUUCAUUAAUAAACUCCUUAAAUUAGUGAUGACAUGCUAAGCGUAUUGUAAUAAAAUGGUAAUACUUAUGUAAAAAAUCUUCCUGGAAUUAACAGAUUUAACGUCGCAACAAUCAUCGAUGACCAUUGUUGAGCUUUCCAUUUACGCUAUGAGGGUUACUGAUCAGGAAACGCGAUCAUUAUUUUAAAAAACGUAGAACGUGCAUUUACCUAGAUCUGCAAGAUUAUUUUUUCUAGCGUUUAAGAACUACAAUAUAUAACGUGCAUUGGUAGACAAUGUAACAUUUUUAUUUAUAAACAUUUAGGAAAUGAUUACACAAGCAUAUUAUCAUACUGAAACAUAGCAAGCAAUAGUAAGGGUUCUGUUACAUGGCAGAUGAGUAGCUAGCGCGUCCAGGAGAUUUUGAGUUCCUACGAGAGAUUCGGUGCACACACGUAAUCAAUUUAUAAUUAAGGAAAUAGGAAAAGGAAUACCCGAAUGGCUGGAUCAACUUUUGUGGUGGAAUUAGUAGGGUUUUUGGAUUUCAAGGGGGAAUUAAUAGGUAACGACGAGGACUCAUUGUCAGCAAGGGUUUCAAGAAAUAAGCAGUUGCGUUUGAUGGCAGAAAAGUUUUCGUUUACAAUAUUAAGGGGAAGACAGUGUCGAUGAGACGUACCUGAGAUAUGAAAUGCUAAUGGCAAGGUGGAUAGAUGUAAUACGUCAUGUAAUAUACGUGGUUAUCUACGCGUGUAUUACAACGUAUAAUACGUUCUUAGUUUUCUACAUGAGCGUGAAAUAUAUUACACCUUUCUAUUUCUAAAUAGAUAAUAACAAAUCCAAUUAGAAAUUUGAUAUUAAACUGGGUUAAGUCGAAAGAAUUUUGAACACAAGCGUCAAAUAAAUUAUUCCUUCAAAAUUUUUUCGUAUUUACACAUGCGCUAAAAGCCGUUUAUAAUCUAGCGGAUACAUAUAUCGUGCAUCUGUAGGAUCCGCCAUAUUGGAAACAUAAAACAAUUUUGAACGCA